rnacentral:tRNA from 1 species
GGUUCGGUGGUCUAGGGGUAUGAUUCUCGCUUAGGGUGCGAGAGGUCCCGGGUUCAAAUAUCGGCCCGAACCC